AAUCAGCAAGGGCUGCAUUUGGUUUAGAACUUUCUGGUCCCCACACAGGCCCUUCUACCCUCUAAAAUCUCUCUCUCCCUUUCCCCGGGGAUUCUCCCCAUUCUCAGAAACAACCACAAUCAGAAAAACGUAAAACCACAGAAGGAUAAAACCAUUUCUGGGCUGUACUUCCGAGCAUUCCCAGACCACAGACCACGGCAGUUUACAAGGAGAUGUUUUAACUAUGGAUGAGGCUGCGGUGGCUUUAUGAAGGGUGCUAAGAAGAAAAUGAUCUUCUUGGAUUUCAUUUUCAUUUUGGUUUAAUGAGAGAUGGAUGACCUCUGCUAAAGAAACCUGCCUACAGACCUGGGGGGAGUCCCAGGCCUCUCAAAUCUAGCUAAAAAGUGAAGACCGCCUGCUUUCCAUUUUCUGUGAGCUAGACUCGAGAGUGGGGAUGGAGGGCAUGGACGUCAGAGGGUCUGUCUGGUCAUGGCCGAUCUGGAAUGCCAGAGACAAUGAAAGACCUUACUGGACAAAUAAAUACAACAGGAACACUGUC